rnacentral:misc_RNA from 1 species
GGAACAGAAGACUUACUAUACCAACACUCGCACCCAAAUAAUUGAUGACUGAGCAGAGCCUUGGCAACGCUUAUGAACCCAUGCACGCACACAUCCAUAACCGAUAUGGGAAUCCGAAGGCUCAACCUCACUGAGCACCCCCAAUGGGCACACCCACUAACUCGCAAACCUCAACCAUUAGGCCACACUGGGAACUCGCCUCACCCCUCAGGUUUUAGCUUUUUCUUUC